rnacentral:rRNA from 1 species
GUCGAGCGGCGGACGGGUGAGUAAUGCCUAGGAAAUUGCCCUGAUGUGGGGGAUAACCAUUGGAAACGAUGGCUAAUACCGCAUAAUACCUUCGGGUCAAAGAGGGGGACCUUCGGGCCUCUCGCGUCAGGAUAUGCCUAGGUGGGAUUAGCUAGUUGGUGAGGUAAUGGCUCACCAAGGCGACGAUCCCUAGCUGGUCUGAGAGGAUGAUCAGCCACACUGGAACUGAGACACGGUCCAGACUCCUACGGGAGGCAGCAGUGGGGAAUAUUGCACAAUGGGCGCAAGCCUGAUGCAGCCAUGCCGCGUGUGUGAAGAAGGCCUUCGGGUUGUAAAGCACUUUCAGUCGUGAGGAAGGUAGUGUAGUUAAUAGCUGCAUUAUUUGACGUUAGCGACAGAAGAAGCACCGGCUAACUCCGUGCCAGCAGCCGCGGUAAUACGGAGGGUGCGAGCGUUAAUCGGAAUUACUGGGCGUAAAGCGCAUGCAGGUGGUUUGUUAAGUCAGAUGUGAAAGCCCGGGGCUCAACCUCGGAAUAGCAUUUGAAACUGGCAGACUAGAGUACUGUAGAGGGGGGUAGAAUUUCAGGUGUAGCGGUGAAAUGCGUAGAGAUCUGAAGGAAUACCGGUGGCGAAGGCGGCCCCCUGGACAGAUACUGACACUCAGAUGCGAAAGCGUGGGGAGCAAACAGGAUUAGAUACCCUGGUAGUCCACGCCGUAAACGAUGUCUACUUGGAGGUUGUGGCCUUGAGCCGUGGCUUUCGGAGCUAACGCGUUAAGUAGACCGCCUGGGGAGUACGGUCGCAAGAUUAAAACUCAAAUGAAUUGACGGGGGCCCGCACAAGCGGUGGAGCAUGUGGUUUAAUUCGAUGCAACGCGAAGAACCUUACCUACUCUUGACAUCCAGAGAACUUUCCAGAGAUGGAUUGGUGCCUUCGGGAACUCUGAGACAGGUGCUGCAUGGCUGUCGUCAGCUC